rnacentral:rRNA from 1 species
UACGUAGGGUGCGAGCGUUGUCCGGAAUUAUUGGGCGUAAAGAGCUUGUAGGUGGUUUGUCGCGUCUGCUGUGAAAAUCCGAGGCUCAACCUCGGACUUGCAGUGGGUACGGGCAGACUAGAGUGUGGUAGGGGAGAGUGGAAUUCCUGGUGUAGCGGUGAAAUGCGCAGAUAUCAGGAAGAACACCCGUGGCGAAGGCGGCUCUCUGGGACGGUACUGACGCUGAGACGCGAAAGCGUGGGGAGCGAACAGG